GUAAACUCCACCGUUCCCAUGGAAACAGUUUGGCGUCCUUUAAGGGAAAGGUGAACUAUAGUGAUAAGAUUUAGGGCACUGGGAUAAAAACCAACUUGCCUGAGGGAAAGGUAUGGAACUUUCACUCCUCUGGGGAUGUCAUGCAACUGAAGGAGAAAGCCAAAGAACUCUGUCAUUUACUCGGGGGCUUGCCUGAGUUUGAUCCAGAGCAGCACAGAAACAAAGCACCCACUAAUCCCAGCACAGGCAGAGGCCAGAGGUUCAGAAGUUCACGGACAUGAUUAUCCACACGGCUUGAGGAGAGCCCCAAGGCAUUGGCCCACAUCUAUCCCCAAGCUUUUGAAAUAUUCCUCCCAGCAUCAGAACGAAGUGUGGUAGGACCAAGACCUUGGAAUGGAGGAGCUGGUCCCAGAAUGGGUCUGUUUGGAUGUCAGAGCAGAAUAACUUCUCUGUGGGCUUGACUGCCUUUUGGUGGUGCUGGAGAUCAAACCCAGAGCCUCCAAGACUCACUCUCCCGUCCGCCCGCCAAGAUGCCACCUCAUCCGUCAAGGGGCUGAUUUUGACUAGCUGGUUCAGUGCUGUCAUUUACAGAACCCUUGUGUGUGACUUUCAGUCAGUUCCCUCCUUCCAGCACCCCGGAAAAUUGGGCACAGUAGAAAAUGUAAUCUCAGCAGUUGAUAGGCAAGUGGAUCAGAAGCUCGGAAUCACCUUCGGCUACACAAGGAGUUAGAGGCCAGCCUGGGCUUCAUGAAACCCGGUCCCAAGAAUCUAGGAGAAGAACAAAACAAAACAAAACCCAAACCUGUUCUCUCCGUUCUGUUCACUUUAGUCCCUCAGUCCUCAGAGUCUCCCCGACUCUGAACCCCUUCCAGGCACUGUCCAUUUCCUGAAGAAAAGCUG
rnacentral:lncRNA from 1 species